rnacentral:pre_miRNA from 14 species
UUCUUAGAUAUGAAAGACCCCCAGAGUGGGGAGACCCUCACUCAAGUCUCAGGAUGACUCGACCCCCCCCAAGAACUCAUGUAAAA